rnacentral:lncRNA from 1 species
AUGGGAAAGGCAAGUGUGAAUUUUCGGCACGAGUGCGUUGGAAGACUGCUCGCAGUUCAUUACGGAUGCAGAAUUUCCAUACUCAUUAUUCCGAAACAAACCUCCUCAGAAGGCCCUUCUGGGACCAAUGGCAGCCGAUUUUAUUAUUCAUCUUUUGCGAGUGGUCCUGGUAAAAUGCAUCUAUCAAGGAGAAUAAUGAAACCGAAGUUACUUGAGACACCUUUCUACUUGGAGGUAACAAAAGCAGGGAACAAAAAAAAGGAUGCACGUGUGAUGGUGUAAGCAGAAACCCAGGCUCAGCUAACGCCUACCUGCAGCACACCGGGCGCAAUAACCCGCUGCAGCAGCUUCCGGGGGUAGAGGUCUAUUGAUCCAGCAGAGAUGUGCCCGUGUACAAUAACUGGGAUCUGGUAGCUGAGUUUCCUUCUGUCAUGAAAAUUGUCAAUUACAAGUACAGCUGCGUGUUCUCCAGAACAGACGCCGGUGCCUCUACCUUCAGGAGAAUCUAGCUUCAGUGCAGACGCUGAUUUUGGUUCAGUGCAGCCACUGCCCUCACCCAUGAGCAGCAGGUUAUUACCUGUUGAAUAGAAGUUUCUGCUCUGUAGCUGGGAAGAGAUAUUUUAGGAACUAUUGAUUUACCCUAAUUGCAUCUAUCUUUGUACUAUGAAAAGCUGCCAUUGCCAUGGCAAUAGCAUAAAAAAAUGGAAGAACCACUGCCCUAUAGUCGAGCAUCUUGUUGGUUUGAAUACAGCAGACAACAAACUUUUCCUACAGAGGUCAGGUACGAUCACUGUGUGAUUUAGAAGUGACCCCACAAACACAGCAGCGUGGUUUGGCAUUUAACCCAGACCCUGUACAUUCACGACUGGGCACCUUCAGGGUCUGGAAGCUGUCGCCUCCAGGCCGUGCUUUCAGCAGAACGAUGUGAGGAAAACCCAGCAGGGCUCACAAAAAGACACCUGCAACCGCAGUGCCACGCAGCAGUUCCUCUCACAGCGCUCUUUCAGAAAGCUUUACUCCCUGCAAGCUCUUUGCCUCAGUGAGGACAAGAAGGUUCUUGAGAUCUCCCUACACCCAGGAGGACAGCAAAGCUCUUGGCUUUUCCCCUCCCCAGUGACUGCCCGCCCCGUGGCUGCCCCGGCCGUGCUGAGCGCUGCCGACGCACACAGGAUCUGGGGGUGCUGUACAGGUGGGGUCCUUCACGCAGCAUGAGACAAUUCGCAUGCAAUUUGGUCUCUAACAUUGGUAAAGGUAAUCUGGAGGACAACUUAGCCUUUCCAUGCCUUCACAGCCAUAGGAAUAAAGGGUAAAGUGCUGGGACUCA